rnacentral:rRNA from 1 species
GACGUAGGGGGCGAGCGUUGUUCGGAAUUACUGGGCGUAAAGCGUGCGUAGGCGGACUUAUAAGUCAAGGUUGAAAUAUCCGGGCUCAACUCGGGGCACGGCCUUGAUACCGCAAGUCUUGAGUCAAGUAGAGGGUAAUGGAAUUCCCGGUGUAGCGGUGAAAUGCGUAGAUAUCAGGAGGAACACCCGUGGCGAAGGCGGCUGCCUGGCCUAUCACUGACGCUGAGGCGCGAAAGCGUGGGGAGCAAACGGG